CCUACGGGAGGCAGCAGUGAGGAAUAUUGGGCAAUGGACGAGAGUCUGAACCAGCCAAGUAGCGUGAAGGAUGACUGCCCUAUGGGUUGUAAACUUCUUUUAUAUGGGAAUAAAAUGUUCCACGUGUGGGGUUUUGUAUGUACCAUAUGAAUAAGGAUCGGCUAACUCCGUGCAAGCAGCCGCGGUAAUCCGGAGGAUCCGAGCGUUAUCCGUAUUUAUUGGGUUUAAAGGGAGCGUAGGUGGAUUGUUAAGUCAGUUGUGAAAGUUUGCGGCUCAACCUUAAAAUUGCAGUUGAAACUGGCAGUCUUGAGUACAGUAGAGGUGGGCGGAAUUCGUGGUGUAGCGGUGAAAUGCUUAGAUAUCACGAAGAACUCCGAUGGCGAAGGCAGUUCACUGGACUGCAACUGACACUGAGGCUCGAAAGUGAGGGUAUCAAACAGGAUUAGAUACCCCAGUAGUC
rnacentral:rRNA from 1 species